ensembl:lncRNA
CAGAAAAUCAUAUUUCUGCACCUCAAGCCUGAAAUAUCACAACUGAAACAUAGACACUGGGGCAUCAUCAUACACCAUUUGAAAUUCAGAUAUGGGGAUUUCAAUUGCUGGAUUUUUCAGGCAUUACAGGGGACAGUUCAACCUUAUAUUAAAACUUUUUUCAAUUUUUUUUGACUCACCUAAUGUGAUUUAUUUAUUUAUAAUGAAUUUCUCUUUUAAAACAGGUUUUGUGCCAUCACUGUUACAUUCAAAAUGGUUUGGGGUCAAAUGUUACAAGAUUGAAGAUUGAUGGCAGAAGGCCUGCCCAAUAAGCCAUAUUUAUGACAGGUAAAGCAACCAAUCACGUCAUGUCAUGUUUAUGGGCGUGGAAAUGUCACCACAAUAACAGACUGGUGUGUAAAACUCUUUGACAUAUUUUGAAGAUUCUAUGCCGCAAAUUUAAAUUUUUCACAUAUGUUUGAAAAUCCAGCGUUUAGUUUAUCCUUAUAAGCGUUCAUCAUCACGGUUUUAAACAUGACAGCUUUUUUCUUCCAUGAGGGGGUUUGGCAUCAUGGCAUCUUUGUUUCCAACUUGUAGUUG